GCGCGAUGUUACUGCGGCCGGCUAUUCGUGCUUUGCGGCAAGCGUGAUUCUGAAGCUCAGGCGAAAGCUCUUCCUUUCAGUGCUCACUUUCAGCAACAUUGUGUCUACGCGUUAACUCUAACAAGUCAAAAUGGCGGAAGAAGGCGGUACACAGGAUGGGCUGGCGCCACCACAAACUGAGACUGGAGCUGAUGGAGAGAUUGUUGGAGGGCCAAGAACACCCCAGCAAAUUGCAGCCCAGAAGAGGCUGCAGCAGCAACAGGCCCAAGUUGAUGAGGUGUGUGAAAUAAUGAAAUCAAACGUUGAAAAAGUACUCGAUCGAGACGCAAAGUUAUCAGAACUUGAUGAUAGAGCGAACGCCCUUCAGCAAGGAGCAUCCCAAUUUGAGCAGCAAGCAAAGAGUUUGAAGAACAAAUUUUGGCUUCAAAAUUUAAAGAUGAUGAUUAUCAUGGGCGUAAUAGGAAUCGUGAUAAUAGGACUGCUCUUUGGUGAUAACAUAAAACAAAUGUUUGGUUAGUUCGAUAUCGCGGCACCCCGUCUAUGCCCAGCAUCACUCCUGUGGCAGCCACCAAUGCUACUCUGCCCGUUGCCUCUACUAAUUGAAAAUACAUGUAGAGAAUUACGUCAAUCUUCAGGUAAGAUUAUUUAGUGUAAAUUUCAAUGUACCCAAUAUAGAUGUAA